rnacentral:rRNA from 1 species
UACAGAGGGGGCAAGCGUUGUUCGGAAUUACUGGGCGUAAAGGGCGCGUAGGCGGCCUUCUAAGUCGAACGUGAAAUCCCUGGGCUCAACCCAGGAACUGCCUUUGAUACUGGGGAUCUUGAGUCCGGGAGAGGUGAGUGGAACUGCGAGUGUAGAGGUGAAAUUCGUAGAUAUUCGCAAGAACACCAGUGGCGAAGGCGGCUCACUGGCCCGGUACUGACGCUGAGGUGCGAAAGCGUGGGGAGCAAACAGG